GUGUGGUAAAUGCACAGUAUAUAGCACUGUGCAGCAGACUCCAAAAGGUGCAUACAUCGAAGUGAAUUCAACUAGUUGCAGGGAAUCUGUCGAGAAUACGAAGAGCUUUUGAACCGGACUAAAAGCGAAAGAAACAACCAAAAGCAUCAUCAAACUUUCCUCAGAAGAUGUCAUUUCAAGAGAAACAAAGUGACUCCUCCUUGAAACGUUGCGCUGCUUUAGGCGCUGGCAUAUUAACCAUUUGGAUAAUUGCAGUUUUGUACGCACUGGCUUUCAAUUUCACAUGCCCAUGUAGAGAGGAUCACAAUGCAGCGGUAACACUGUUCUUCUUCCUUUGCCCUGCUUUUUUUCUCUUCGUCAUAAUGUUCCACAUUCUAAGGCCUCUUAAAUACGGAUGGUUUCACUGCCCUGAACGAGUGGAAGAUGAUACGCCUCGGAGCUGUCCUAAAGCUCUCAUAUCUUGUCUGAUUCCACCUGUAAUGUGGAUCGUCUUCUUGUUACUCAAAGGUGAAUAUGUUGCUUGUGCCAUGACAGACUGGAACGGAAUUUAUUCUGAUGAUGAUGAACUACAAACACAGUGGUGUAAACCAACUGAAGGGAUGCGAACGGAGAUGGAGCUAAAACAUUUAACUCGCACAUAUAUUCAUCAAUCUCAGUAUGCAGGUUAUGUCUUGAUCACUUUCUUCAGUGUCUUGUCGCUUACCAUUGUGGCUAUCUAUGACAGCUGCAUAAGUGGGAAAUGUGACUGGUGCCCAAGUGGACUGUUGUUCCUCUGUGGACGAAAAGGGAGACUCUAUAGACUGGAUGACGUGGAGUUCAGCCCCACCACCUCCAUCAAACACCCACUUCUUGCUUUGUCUAAAAAUGAAUAAACAGCUGAAUUUAGGAGGGAUGUACAAAAAAAAAAAGGUUCCAAAAGGGUGUUUUCACAGCAAUGCCUUAAGGUUUGUUCACACUUGGCAUGUUUGGUUCGAUUUAAAGUUUCAAAUUAACCCUUACGCGAUUGCUCUGUUAGUGCGGUUCAUUUGAAUAAGUGUGAACGCUGCCAUCUGAACCCUCAUGCGCACCAAACAAGCGGACCGAGACCCUUGAAAAGAUGGGUCUCAAUCCGCUUACAAACAAACUUUGGUGCGGUUUGAAAUGGUAUGAAUGCAAUGCACACCAAAAGUAUCUAUAAACAAGAUGCGACCCUAAAAAGACUCGUCAUAGUCAAGGUGUUUCCCAUCACAGUUCGGUACAGGUUCUGUCUCCUCAUGCCAGAUCUUCGUUUGUGUGUGAUAGAGGGAUUCCCGACGCUGUUUUGACUCCUUUACACAUUUUAAAAGCUCUUUACGAGUUCAAAAUCCUGAACCACCCCUUAAGUUUUGGUGUUAAAAUGCCAUUGUGAAUGCUAAGAGGACCAGGACGAUUUUUUGUUGUUGUUGUUGUUGUUGUUGAUCCGGACCAAACGAACCAAAAUACAAGUGUGAACACACCCAAAGAAGAACGAUUUUUGGUUCCCCAAAUAACCUUUUGGUGACGGGAUGAAUUCUUGAAUCCACUGCCACUUCAAUGUAUAUCCUUUGAGUGGUUGUUUAUGUUAUUAAUCAAUAUUUAUCCAUAUCAAAUGAUUUGAAUGACUUCAUCAAGCUUGUUACAUGUAUGUUCACUGAAACUCUCUUUAUUAUGACAAAUCACUGUAAUUGAGGUCAAGAAAACUAUUCAUAACAGAGAUAUAAUGGUCUCAUGACUGCCAAUGUCAAAAUCAUCCACCUGACAGUUUCAUGUAAUGUUAACCAAUAAAGCUAGGUGGUUUCUUAAGUUUGAUAAUUAAUCUGCUAUGUCAUGUUUAUGAA